rnacentral:piRNA from 1 species
UGUGACUACCAAUGUUUUAUA